UACGGAGGGUGCAAGCGUUAUCCGGAUUCACUGGGUUUAAAGGGAGCGUAGGCGGAAUAAUAAGUCAGUGGUGAAAGCCCCGGGCUCAACUUGGGAAUUGCCAUUGAUACUGUUAUUCUUGAGUUCGGUUGAGGUAGGCGGAAUGUUGCAUGUAGCGGUGAAAUGCUUAGUUAUGCAACAGAACACCGAUUGCGAAGGCAGCUUACCAAGCCGUCACUGCCGCUGAGGCUCGAAAGCGUUGGGAUCAAACAGG
rnacentral:rRNA from 1 species